CGGCACAGGUGAGGAGACAGUGUAGUGGAGAGGGGAGAGCCACAUCUGAGCUGAGAGUGCGGAGCUGGUGAGGAGGUGGAGGUAAGAGGCCACAACAAUCACGGAGGAGACCCCACUGCUGCUGAAGGAGAAGGCAAAAUCUGAUGCAGACAGACAAACAAAGAGAACACAUGUGAAGAGGAAGGCAGAUUGUGGAGACGCAUCUAUAAGCUGAGGGGAAACAGAGAUGCCCCCUCCCCCAGGAGCUGGGGACAGGCCUGAAACAGACCCUCCCUCACAGCCUCAGAGGGGAGCCACCCCCGACACCUUCAUCUCAGACGCCAGCCUCCGGAACGGGGAGACAGAGCCAGAGCUGACCGAGACAGAGGCUUUAUUUUCCUGCUGCAAAGGGACUGGCCCUGCCAGGAUGGAGAGAGGGAGCUGUGGAGUCUGCAGCUUGCCACCGCUGCCUGUUUCUCACCUGGGAAGAGACUUAUUAAGGACCACCAGGAGCAAGAGCACUGAGUCUGGGACAAAUCCUGCUGUCUAAUCCCGCUGGCCCCUCCGUCUCCAUCCGCCUCAUUGAAGUCACUCUUGUUCAAUCUGAUUGAAUGAAGAUCAGCCAAUCAAUGUCCAUCAUGCACGGAAAGAAGCUGGCUCUGUGUUCCCUGUCUGGGCCUGCUCCACACCGGACGCCUCUGGCCUAGUGUGCAGUCUUCAUGCCCCGCUCAUUCAUCAUUCACUUUUUU